rnacentral:piRNA from 1 species
GCUUUCAUGAUGGGAUAGUAGGUA